rnacentral:tRNA from 1 species
UCUCUGCUGGUCCAGUGGCUAAGAGUCUGUGCUCCCAAUGCAGAGGGCCCUGGUUCGAUCCCUGGCCAGAGAA